rnacentral:rRNA from 1 species
CCUACGGGCGGCAGCAGUGAGGAAUAUUGGUCAAUGGACGAGAGUCUGAACCAGCCAAGUAGCGUGAAGGAAGACUGCCCUAUGGGUUGUAAACUUCUUUUAUAUGGGAAUAAAAUGUUCCACGUGUGGGAUUUUGUAUGUACCAUAUGAAUAAGGAUCGGCUAACUCCGUGCCAGCAGCCGCGGUACUACGGAGGAUCCGAGCGUUAUCCGGAUUUAUUGGGUUUAAAGGGAGCGUAGGUGGAUUGUUAAGUCAGUUGUGAAAGUUUGCGGCUCAACCGUAAAAUUGCAGUUGAAACUGGCAGGCUUGAGUACAGUAGAGGUGGGCGGAAUUCGUGGUGUAGCGGUGAAAUGCUUAGAUAUCACGAAGAACUCCGAUGGCGAAGGCAGCUCACUGGACUGCAACUGACACUGAGGCUCGAAAGUGUGGGUAUCAAACAGGAUUAGAUACCCGUGUAGUC